rnacentral:piRNA from 1 species
UCCAGCCCGGGCAGGCUUCCUUCUCUAGC